UGGGGUGACGGUAGGGGUAGAAGAAGCACCGGCCAACUACGUGCCAGCAGCCGCGGUAAUACGUAGGGUGCGAGCGUUGUCCGGAAUUAUUGGGCGUAAAGAGCUCGUAGGCGGUCUGUCGCGUCGGUCGUGAAAACUUGGGGCUUAACCCUGAGCUUGCGGUCGAUACGGGCAUGACUGGAGUUCGGCAGGGGAGACUGGAAUUCCUGGUGUAGCGGUGAAAUGCGCAGAUAUCAGGAGGAACACCGGUGGCGAAGGCGGGUCUCUGGGCCGAUACUGACGCUGAGGAGCGAAAGCGUGGGGAGCGAACAGGAUUAGAUACCCUGGUAGUCCACGCCGUAAACGGUGGGCGCUAGGUGUGGGGGCCAUUCCACGGUCUCUGUGCCGCAGCUAACGCAUUAAGCGCCCCGCCUGGGGAGUACGGCCGCAAGGCUAAACUAAG
rnacentral:rRNA from 1 species